rnacentral:rRNA from 1 species
CUCAACUGUCAUACUUCCCUGUCCAUGCCUGCCCUCUUCUGAUCUUGGAAGCUAGGCAGGGUCAUGCCUAGGGUAUACUUGGAUGAGAGUUCAAAUUAUAAAUCAGACAUGGUUAGAGA